rnacentral:rRNA from 1 species
AGCAGUCGCCGCGGGAAUACGUAGGUGGCAAGCGUUGUCCGGAAUUAUUGGGCGUAAAGGGCUCGCAGGCGGUUUCUUAAGUCUGAUGUGGAAGCCCCCGGCUCAACCGGGGAGGGUCAUUGGAAACUGGGAAACUUGAGUGCAGAAGAGGAGAGUGGAAUUCCACGUGUAGCGGUGAAAUGCGUAGAGAUGUGGAGGAACACCAGUGGCGAAGGCGACUCUCUGGUCUGUAACUGACGCUGAGGAGCGAAAGCGUGGGGAGCGAACAGGAUUAGAUACCCGUGUAGUCCCUGUCUCUUAUAC